AAUUAACCAAUUACUUGAGGAGCAAGG
rnacentral:piRNA from 1 species